UUAAGCGACUAAGCGUACACGGUGGAUGCCCUGGCAGUCAGAGGCGAUGAAGGACGUGCUAAUCUGCGAAAAGCGUCGGUAAGGUGAUAUGAACCGUUAUAACCGGCGAUGUCCGAAUGGGGAAACCCAGUGCAAUUCGUUGCACUAUCGUUAACUGAAUACAUAGGUUAACGAGGCGAACCGGGGGAACUGAAACAUCUAAGUACCCCGAGGAAAAGAAAUCAACCGAGAUUCCCCCAGUAGCGGCGAGCGAACGGGGAGCAGCCCAGAGUCUGAAUCAGCUUGUGUGUUAGUGGAACGGUCUGGAAAGUCCGACGGUACAGGGUGAUAGUCCCGUACACCAAAAUGCACAGGNUGUGAACUCGAAGAGUAGGGCGGGACACGUGGUAUCCUGUCUGAAUAUGGGGGGACCAUCCUCCAAGGCUAAAUACUCCUGACUGACCGAUAGUGAACCAGUACCGUGAGGGAAAGGCGAAAAGAACCCCGGCGAGGGGAGUGAAAAAGAACCUGAAACCGUGUACGUACAAGCAGUGGGAGCACCUUCGGGUGUGACUGCGUACCUUUUGUAUAAUGGGUCAGCGACUUAUAUUCUGUAGCAAGGUUAACCGUAUAGGGGAGCCGCAGGGAAACCGAGUCUUAACUGGGCGUUAAGUUGCAGGGUAUAGACCCGAAACCCGGUGAUCUAGCCAUGGGCAGGUUGAAGGUUGGGUAACACUAACUGGAGGACCGAACCGACUAAUGUUGAAAAAUUAGCGGAUGACUUGUGGCUGGGGGUGAAAGGCCAAUCAAACCGGGAGAUAGCUGGUUCUCCCCGAAAGCUAUUUAGGUAGCGCCUCGUGAAUUCAUCUUCGGGGGUAGAGCACUGUUUCGGCUAGGGGGUCAUCCCGACUUACCAACCCGAUGCAAACUACGAAUACCGAAGAAUGUUAUCACGGGAGACACACGGCGGGUGCUAACGUCCGUCGUGAAGAGGGAAACAACCCAGACCGCCAGCUAAGGUCCCAAAGUCAUGGUUAAGUGGGAAACGAUGUGGGAAGGCACAGACAGCCAGGAUGUUGGCUUAGAAGCAGCCAUCAUUUAAAGAAAGCGUAAUAGCUCACUGGUCGAGUCGGCCUGCGCGGAAGAUGUAACGGGGCUAAACCAUGCACCGAAGCUGCGGCAGCGACACUAUGUGUUGUUGGGUAGGGGAGCGUUCUGUAAGCCUGCGAAGGUGACCUGUGAGGGUUGCUGGAGGUAUCAGAAGUGCGAAUGCUGACAUAAGUAACGAUAAAGCGGGUGAAAAGCCCGCUCGCCGGAAGACCAAGGGUUCCUGUCCAACGUUAAUCGGGGCAGGGUGAGUCGACCCCUAAGGCGAGGCCGAAAGGCGUAGUCGAUGGGAAACAGGUUAAUAUUCCUGUACUUGGUGUUACUGCGAAGGGGGGACGGAGAAGGCUAUGUUAGCCGGGCGACGGUUGUCCCGGUUUAAGCAUGUAGGCUGNNNNUCCAGGCAAAUCCGGAUAAUCAAGGCUGAGGUGUGAUGACGAGGCACUACGGUGCUGAAGUAACAAAUGCCCUGCUUCCAGGAAAAGCCUCUAAGCAUCAGGUAACAUCAAAUCGUACCCCAAACCGACACAGGUGGUCAGGUAGAGAAUACCAAGGCGCUUGAGAGAACUCGGGUGAAGGAACUAGGCAAAAUGGUGCCGUAACUUCGGGAGAAGGCACGCUGGUGUGUAGGUGAAGUCCCUGCGGAUGGAGCUGAGACCAGUCGAAGAUACCAGCUGGCUGCAACUGUUUAUUAAAAACACAGCACUGUGCAAACACGAAAGUGGACGUAUACGGUGUGACGCCUGCCCGGUGCCGGAAGGUUAAUUGAUGGGGUUAUCCGUAAGGAGAAGCUCUUGAUCGAAGCCCCGGUAAACGGCGGCCGUAACUAUAACGGUCCUAAGGUAGCGAAAUUCCUUGUCGGGUAAGUUCCGACCUGCACGAAUGGCGUAAUGAUGGCCAGGCUGUCUCCACCCGAGACUCAGUGAAAUUGAACUCGCUGUGAAGAUGCAGUGUACCCGCGGCAAGACGGAAAGACCCCGUGAACCUUUACUAUAGCUUGACACUGAACAUUGAGCCUUGAUGUGUAGGAUAGGUGGGAGGCUUUGAAGCGUGGACGCCAGUCUGCGUGGAGCCAACCUUGAAAUACCACCCUUUAAUGUUUGAUGUUCUAACGUUGGCCCCUUA
rnacentral:rRNA from 1 species